GAGUUCCUCCAAACUCUUCA
rnacentral:miRNA from 1 species